CCUACGGGAGGCAGCAGUGGGGAAUAUUGGACAAUGGGGGGAACCCUGAUCCAGCCAUGCCGCGUGUGUGAAGAAGGCCCUCGGGUUGUAAAGCACUUUCAGUGAGGAAGAACGCCUGGUGGUUAAUACCCAUCAGGAAAGACAUCACUCACAGAAGAAGCACCGGCUAACUCCGUGCCAGCAGCCGCGGUAAUACGGAGGGUGCGAGCGUUAAUCGGAAUUACUGGGCGUAAAGCGCGCGUAGGUGGCUUGAUAAGCCGGUUGUGAAAGCCCCGGGCUCAACCUGGGAACGGCAUCCGAAACUGUCAAGCUAGAGUGCAGGAGAGGAAGGUAGAAUUCCCGGUGUAGCGGUGAAAUGCGUAGAGAUCGGGAGGAAUACCAGUGGCGAAGGCGGCCUUCUGGACUGACACUGACACUGAGGUGCGAAAGCGUGGGUAGCAAACAGGAUUAGAUACCCUGGUAGUC
rnacentral:rRNA from 1 species